rnacentral:rRNA from 1 species
AUUGAACGCUGGCGGCAUGCCUUACACAUGCAAGUCGAACGGCAGCACGGACUUCGGUCUGGUGGCGAGUGGCGAACGGGUGAGUAAUAUAUCGGAACAUACCCUGUAGUGGGGGAUAACUAUCCGAAAGGAAAGCUAAUACCGCAUACGCUCUAAGGAGGAAAGUGGGGGAUCGCAAGACCUCAUGCUAUAAGAGUGGCAGAUCUCUGAUUAGGUAGUUGGUGAGGUAAAGGCUCACCAAGGCGACGAUCAGUAGCUGGUCUGAGAGGACGACCAGCCACACUGGAACUGAGACACGGACCAGACUCCUACGGGAGGCAGCAGUGGGGAAUUUUGGACAAUGGGGGCAAGCCUGAUCCAGCAAUGCCGCGUGAGUGAAGAAGGCCUUCGGGUUGUAAAGUGCUUUUGUCAGGAAAGAAACGGUUGUGGCUAAUAUCCAUGGCUAAUGACGGUACCUGAAGAAUAAGCACCGGCUAACUACGUGCCAGCCGCCGCCGUAA